UAAGGAAUAUUGCGCAAUGGGCGACAGCCUGACGCAGCGACGCCGCGUGGGGGAUGAAGGUCUUCGGAUUGUAAACCCCUUUCGGCAGGGAAGAUGGAACGGGUAACCGUUCGGACGGUACCUGCAGAAGCAGCCACGGCUAACUUCGUGCCAGCAGCCGCGGUAAUACGAAGGUGGCAAGCGUUGUUCGGAUUUACUGGGCGUACAGGGAGCGUAGGCGGUUGGGUAAGCCCUCCGUGAAAUCUCCGGGCCUAACCCGGAAAGUGCGGAGGGGACUGCUCGGCUAGAGGAUGGGAGAGGAGCGCGGAAUUCCCGGUGUAGCGGUGAAAUGCGUAGAGAUCGGGAGAAGGCCGGUGGCGAAGGCGGCGCUCUGGAACAUUUCUGACGCUGAGGCUCGAAAGCGUGGGGAGCAAACAGGAUUAGAUACCCAUGUAGUCCCUGAGCGGGCUGGCAAGGCGCAU
rnacentral:rRNA from 1 species